UCCACCUAUCGUUCGCGAAACA
rnacentral:miRNA from 1 species